rnacentral:rRNA from 1 species
ACGGGUGAGUAACGCGUGGGAAUCUACCGUGCCCUGCGGAAUAGCUCCGGGAAACUGGAAUUAAUACCGCAUACGCCCUACGGGGGAAAGAUUUAUCGGGGUAUGAUGAGCCCGCGUUGGAUUAGCUAGUUGGUGGGGUAAAGGCCUACCAAGGCGACGAUCCAUAGCUGGUCUGAGAGGAUGAUCAGCCACAUUGGGACUGAGACACGGUCCAAACCUCUACGGGAGGCAGCAGUGGGGAAUAUUGGACAAUGGGCGCAAACCUGAUCCAGCCAUGCCGCGUGAGUGAUGAAGGCCUUAGGGUUGUAAAGCUCUUUCACCGGAGAAGAUAAUGACGGUAUCCGGAGAAGAAGCCCCGGCUAACUUCGUGCCAGCAGCCGCGGUAAUACGAAGGGGGCUAGCGUUGUUCGGAAUUACUGGGCGUAAAGCGCACGUAGGCGGAUAUUUAAGUCAGGGGUGAAAUCCCAGAGCUCAACUCUGGAACUGCCUUUGAUACUGGGUAUCUUGAGUAUGGAAGAGGUAAGUGGAAUUCCGAGUGUAGAGGUGAAAUUCGUAGA